GCGCCCGUAGCUCAGUUGGAUAGAGCGUCGGACUUCGAAUCCGAAGGUCGCAGGUUCGAUUCCUGCCGGGCGUACCA
rnacentral:tRNA from 1 species